ACCUCCCAAAUACGAAGCUUGGAGUAGUUGAUGACAUAGUAGGCCAUGGCAAACUGGGUUUGGUUCUCAGGUGGGUACACAGGCUCAAUCUCCCUCACUAUGCACCCUUGUGAAACCAAUAUUUCACGGUGAUCCUCUGGGA